rnacentral:tmRNA from 1 species
UCAUUGGCUGCAUAAUUAGCAGUCACGUCUUCCCAUACCCGCUCCUCUGGGGGAUGGGGUAAGGCGUCAUAAACAGGGGAUAGUUCCGCUCUUUGUUCUGCGUGGGUGGAAUGAAAAUUGAAGCAGAACUAGCCUUCAAAACUCUGCCAGUAUGAGUUUGAAGGUGAAAAAAAUAUACUGGCUAUGUAUGUAGAGAUCUUCUGGACUACUUCACCGGACGCGGGUUCAAUUCCCGCCGCCUCCACCA